rnacentral:rRNA from 1 species
UACGGAGGGGGCUAGCGUUGUUCGGAAUUACUGGGCGUAAAGCGCACGUAGGCGGCUUUGUAAGUUAGAGGUGAAAGCCCGGGGCUCAACUCCGGAAUUGCCUUUAAGACUGCAUCGCUUGAAUCAUGGAGAGGUGAGUGGAAUUCCGAGUGUAGAGGUGAAAUUCGUAGAUAUUCGGAAGAACACCAGUGGCGAAGGCGACUCACUGGACAUGUAUUGACGCUGAGGUGCGAAAGCGUGGGGAGCAAACAGGAUUAGAAACCCCCGUAGUCC